UACGAAGGUGGCAAGCGUUGUUCGGAAUCACUGGGCUUAAAGAGCACGUAGGCGGCCUCAUAAGCGCUUUGUGAAAUCCCUCGGCUCAACCGAGGAAUUGCUGGGCGAACUGUGAGGCUUGAGGCAAGUAGGGGUGCAUGGAACUCUUGGUGGAGCGGUGAAAUGCGUAGAUAUCAAGAGGAACGCCGGUGGCGAAAGCGGUGCACUGGGCUUGUCCUGACGCUGAGGUGCGAAAGCUAGGGGAGCAAACGGG
rnacentral:rRNA from 1 species